ACCGAAGUUGGAGAAAGAAUUCUCAUUUUUUUAAGGACAAGAUAAUACAAAAAGAUCCACCACACAAUGCCAAAGAAGCACAAAGUUUACCUGCAUAGUGCCAAUCAAGCACAAUCAUUGGGAUGGAUGAACUUUUGAGCCAAGACAAGAGGACUUGAACUUGUUUGGUGUUUGGGGUUUGAGGUUGUGACUUUUUUGACAUAUGUCUGAGGCAGGUCUUUUCACAAAUUCUAACAAGCACCUCACUUUGGAUGCCAUCCUGGCUCUAGUAUCCCUGAGAGAAAAGACUUACCCUGGACCUAAGAGGAAGAAGAAUGGAGAAUACCUGGAGAGUCCUGCUGCUGCUGGGCCUGGCUACAGUAGUCUCAGCUACACCUAGAAGGGUGUUCACCUACAAGGAAGCUGCAGUCCUGGCUUCAAGGAAUUUUAAUCGGGGCUCAAAUGAAGGAAGAAAGUAUCGUGUUGUGGAGGCCAGUCUUUCUACUCCUGACUCACCACUCGAGCUGCCAUUGACUUUCAGAAUUAAGGAAACUGAGUGUCCUUCAACCGAACGUCAGGAUCCAGAAACCUGUGCCUUCCGAGAGAAUGGAGCGGAGAAGCAAUGUACAGCAAACUUCACCAAGCUAUCACGUUUUGGGCUCCGUUCCCUCAACUGUGUGGACAUCGUCAAUGACAAUAAUCAGCCGACUCGUUUUUAAAGAGCUUCAUCAAAUGAAUUCAUUGACACCAGCUCUCUUCCACCCCGUAUCAAACAGAUCUUUGACCAGGCCAGAUAUGACCUAAUAUCUAGAAUAUUGAGUAACUUCUGAAGAAAAGAACUAGAGGGGAGCCAAUGAAAUGGAGAACUUUGGUGAACAUAAAAAGCUGUACUUUUAUCCUGAUCCUUCCCUGCUGUGGUUGGAAAUAAACUAAAGUUGCAAUCA
rnacentral:lncRNA from 1 species